UACGAAGGGUGCAAACGUUGCUCGGAAUUACUGGGCGUAAAGCGCGUGUAGGUGGUGGGACAAGUCUGCUGUGAAAGCGCCUGGCUUAACCGGGCGAGGUCGGCGGAAACUGUCCGACUCGAGGACGGUAGAGGGGGGUGGAAUUCCCGGUGUAGUGGUGAAAUGCGUAGAGAUCGGGAGGAACACCUGUGGCGAAGGCGGCCCCCUGGGCCGGCCCUGACACUGAGACGCGAAGGCGUGGGGAGCGAACGGG
rnacentral:rRNA from 1 species